rnacentral:misc_RNA from 1 species
GAUGAAGAACGCAGCGAAAUGCGAUACUUGGUGUGAAUUGCAGAAUCCCGUGAACCAUCGAGUCUUUGAACGCAAGUUGCGCCCGAAGCCAUUAGGCCGAGGGCACGCCUGCCUGGGCGUCACACGUCGUUGCCCCCCCAUCUACUCCUUCGGGAUUGCGGGGGGCGGAUGGUGGCCUCCCGUGCGCCUCGCCGCGCGGUUGGCAUAAAUGCCAAGUCCUCGGCGACGCACGCCACGACAAUCGGUGGUUGCGAAACCUCGGUUGCCCGUCGUGUGCGGUCGUCGCGCAUCGAGGGCUCGAAAAAAUUGCCGGGUUCCGGCUCGGCUUUCAACGCGACCCCAGGUCAGGCGGGGUUACCCGCUGAAUUUAAGCAUAUCAAUAAGCGGAGGA